rnacentral:rRNA from 2 species
AGAGUUUGAUCCUGGCUCAGGAUGAACGCUGGCGGCGUGCCUUAGGCAUGCAAAUGGAACGAGCUGAGACCGCAAGGUCGAAGCGAGUCGUGGACGGGUGAGUAACACGUAGGAAUCUACCUUACAAGUGGGGAAUACCUCGCCGAAAGGCGAGCUAAUACCGCAUAGUAUCCGGCUUUGCCGGAUUAAAGGGCUUAACUGCCCGCUUUGAGAUGAGCCUGCGUCCUAUCAGCUAGUUGGCGGGAUAAUAGCCCACCAAGGCGAUGACGGGUAGCUGGACUGAGAGGUCGGUCAGCCACAGCGCAACUGCGACACGGUGCGCACACCUACGGGUGGCAGCAACUAGGAAUAUUCGGCAAUGGGCGAAAGCCUGACCGAGCGACGCCGCGUGGAGGAAGAAGGUCUUCGGAUCGUAAACUCCUUUUGUCUCAACAUAUGUUGGGAAGAAUAACCAGCUGCUAACUACGUGCCAGAAGCCUCGGUAAUACGUAGGCUGGAAGCGUUAUCCGGAUUUAUUGGGCGUAAAGCGUUCGUAGGUGGUUUUCCAAGUCAUGGGUGAAAGCCUGCGGCUCAACCGUAGAAUUGCUUAUGAUACUGGGAGACUUUGAGGUCGUUAGGGGGUGCUGGAACUGUCGGUGGAGCAGUGAAAUGCGUUGAUAUCGACAGGAACACCAAGGGCGAAGGCAGGCACCUGGGACGAAUCUGACACUGAGGAACGAAAGCUAGGGGAGCGAAAGGGAUGGAGUUAAUCUCUGGUCCCCUCCGGUGGUAACGCCGGAGUAAAAAUUUGGCUAUAUGCUGGAACAUCUGGGAAUCUCGGGCUAGUUAUUGAUUUCGGGUUAAGUUUGGAUAAUACUUUUACCAAUGCCCAUUUCAUUAACUGACAAUGUUUCGAGUGCAGAAAAUCAGCAGGAAACUCCGAUGUUGUUGUCGGAGGAUCCUCAGAGACUAUAUGCCAAAUGUCCUACUGAGAAAAAAAUAACUGAAGAGGAAGCCAUUUUGUUGGGAAUUUUAUAUACCGACGGCUGCCUUUCCAAAAAGAGCAAGAGUUGCUGGAGAUUUUACCUUAGCAACACUUCUUUUAAGAUCAUCCAAACAUUUAAGGAUUGUAUGAUCAAGAUCUUUGGAUUGGACAGUCGCCGCAUAAGAAUUCGUCAACAAAUUGUGAACGAUAAACCCUUUUAUAAGGCUGUUGUCGAUAGUGCGUAUUGUGGCACUUACUUGACUGCCAAAUAUGGAACUUUCAGAACAUUGGCUUUCAAGGGAACGGGGGGUGAAAAGAUAUACCCGUUUGCGAGAUUGCCGUUCACUUCUGAGAU